AUGACUAGAGAUAACCUUAGGAAAAGGCAGUUAAUCAAGCCUUUAGACUGUGUUUUUUGUUCUGAGGCUGAAACUGUUCACCAUUUAUUCUUUGAAUGUGUAGUAGCUAAAUUUGUGUGGACAGUUGUUAGAGAAAAUUUUAACAUAGAAGUAGGAGUUGAUUAUUUGUCCAUUGCUAAACUUUGGCUUUCAAACAAACAGAGAUCCGCUCUGAACGUAGCCUGUGCAACUACCAUGUGGUGCCUAUGGAAACAGAAUUUCAUUAUAUUUAACAAUACCACAUGGAUUUUUGUCAAACAGGUGCUGGUGGGGAUCCUACGUUUGACCAAGAUUUGGGUGAUCCUGUCUCAAGAACAGGAUUCUCAAGCUUCUUAA
rnacentral:rRNA from 1 species